AUGCCAUUUCUAGAGUUGAAAAGCCCUGAACCCAAACUGCUGCACUGGUGAAUAAAGGGCAUUCCUGCUCCUGUCCUUUUACAGCUGCUUAGUGUGACACACAGGCACCCCAGGCUGAGCACACACUGAGCUGUGCCCAGUUCUUCAGGAGCCUUCCCACGGUGUGGCUCCCUGGAUUCUCCCAGUUGGCCUUCUUGGAAGGAGCUGUUGCUGGCCAGCGUUUGCAGGGGAGGAUGAAUGCCUGUCACUGAGGCUUUACAGUGGGUGGCCCCUGAAGCGGGGCGGUGGCCCCUGAAGCGGGGCAGUCACCAGGCUUGCGCUGAGAGCCACCGCCCCUGUGCGCACCUAACAGGGCGCGCUCCUGCUGAUGCUUCCCUGGCUCAGUUCUUCGGAUCUCCAGAGCAAGAAGGCCACUUAGUCCUUUUUCUCUGGGUGACAUCCUAGAAUAACACUAUAUACAAUGUAGCUCACAUUACAGGACCGAAGGCUUGAUGGAGGGGCUAGAGGUGGCCCUUGUUGUGAAAGUCGAUCAGAACACCUGAGGGAGGAAGGGGUCUGCAGUUUUCCAGGCCCUUCUCGCUGCUAAGGCUGCUGUGGUGCUGUAGAUGGGCUGGGAUUGCUGGGCAGAGGCUGCUACUGCUGGUGAGCUGGUCAUGCCCUGUGUGGCAUAGAAGGGUGGGAGGUGCUGGGGUGGCUGCUGGCCUGGCCUCCAGGAGUUCUGCACAGGAGGUAGACACUGCCCAGAUGCUGGGUGGAGGGAUAGCGAUGGCCUUUGAAACUGGAGAGAGUUUCAAAGGUCUCACCAUGGAAGAGUGAUUUCUGAUUUCUUUCCUUUCAGUUGUAUGUGUGGAAAACAGCUGGCCCGGCUUCCAUUAGCAAAUUUAAAUCAUCCUCAGUAUUAAAUUAGAGGCCAGAAUGAUCUUCAGGAUUAGAACAACUUCUGAAUCUUUGCAGUAGGAAAUGUUUUGAUAUGCAAGUGCUUUUCCAGCCAAACGUCUGUGCUCUCCAUGUCACUGAGGGCCACAGUUUCCUCUGACAUCUGUCACUGUCACUUCACCAGGCAGGUCUUGGAGUCCCAUGGCAAAAUCACUUUUGUCAGACAAAGAAUUAAUGUAUCCUUUACUUUUCUCUGGAAUAAAAUCAUUUCUUCUGUGAAGGAAAA